UACGUAGGGUGCAAGCGUUAAUCGGAAUUACUGGCGUAAAGCGUGCGCAGGCGGUUAUGUAAGACAGAUGUGAAAUCCCCGGGCUCAACCUGGGAACUGCAUUUGUGACUGCAUAGCUAGAGUACGGUAGAGGGGGAUGGAAUUCCGCGUGUAGCAGUGAAAUGCGUAGAUAUGCGGAGGAACACCGAUGGCGAAGGCAAUCCCCUGGACCUGUACUGACGCUCAUGCACGAAAGGCGUGGGGAGCAAACGAGG
rnacentral:rRNA from 1 species